rnacentral:misc_RNA from 1 species
GAUGAAGAACGUAGCGAAAUGCGAUAAGUAAUGUGAAUUGCAGAAUUCAGUGAAUCAUCGAAUCUUUGAACGCACCUUGCGCCCUUUGGACAUUCCGAAGGGCAUGCCUGUUUGAGUAUCAUGAACACCUCAACUCUCACGGCUUGUCCGUGAUGAGCUUGGACUUUGGGGGUCUUGCCGGCCUGUGGUCGGCUCCUCUCAAAUGGAUCAGCUUGCCAGUGUUUGGUGGCAUCACAGGUGUGAUAACUAUCUGCGCUUGUGGUUUUCCAUCAGAUAACCUUCAGUGAUAUGGAGGUUCGCUGGAGCUCACAAAUGUCUCUCCUUAGUGAGGACAGCUCUUUGAACGUUUGAUCUCAAAUCAGGUAGGACUACCCGCUGAACUUAAGCAUAUCAUAGCGGAGGA